AUGGCAAAUCAAGUGGGCACUGUCACUGAGGCCAUAGAGGCUGUGAAACAGGCAAAGGAUGCUCAUUGGGGUGUGAUGGUGUCGUAUAGGUAUGGGGACACGGAUGAUUCUUUCAUCGCCGACCUGAUUGUCGGUGCAACAACUGGACAGAUCAAAGCCGGUGCCCCCUGCUGUGGAGAGUGCCUCAUGAAAUACAAUCAGGUUGUUAUCGUGCUGAGGAUGCUAUGGGAAAACAGGGACAUGUUUGAUCUUGUUAUCAGUGAUGUGCACAUGCCAGACAUGGAUGGCUUUAAGCUUCUUGAGCUUGAUAUGGACCUCCCUGUCAUCAGAGUAAUGGAAUGUUAA
rnacentral:rRNA from 1 species